UACGGAGGGUGCGAGCGUUGUCCGGAAUCACUGGGCGUAAAGGGCGCGUAGGCGGCUCGGUAAGUCGGAUGUGAAAUCCCGGGGCUCAACUCCGGGGCUGCAUCCGCGACUGCCGGGCUCGAGCGUGGUAGAGGCGAGUGGAAUUCCCGGUGUAGCGGUGGAAUGCGUAGAGAUCGGGAAGAACACCGGUGGCGAAGGCGGCUCGCUGGGCCAUUGCUGACGCUGAUGUGCGAAAGCGUGGGGAGCAAAC
rnacentral:rRNA from 1 species